GUCCAGACUCCUACGGGAGGCAGCAGUGAGGAAUAUUGGUCAAUGGGCGGAAGCCUGAACCAGCCAAGUCGCGUGAGGGAAUAAGGCCCUACGGGUCGUAAACCUCUUUUGCCGGGGAGCAAGGGCGGGGACGUGUCCCGGCCCGGAGAGUACCCGGAGAAAAAGCAUCGGCUAACUCCGUGCCAGCAGCCGCGGUAAUACGGAGGAUGCGAGCGUUAUCCGGAUUUAUUGGGUUUAAAGGGUGCGUAGGCGGAAUGCCAAGUCAGCGGUAAAAUCGCGGGGCUCAACCCCGCCCAGCCGUCGGAACUGCCGGGCUAGAGUGGGCGAGAAGUGCGCGGAAUGCGUGGUGUAGCGGUGAAAUGCAUAGAUAUCACGCAGAACUCCGAUUGCGAAGGCAGCAUACCGGCGCUCAACUGACGCUCAUGCACGAAAGCGUGGGUAUCGAACAGGAUUAGAUACCCGCGUA
rnacentral:rRNA from 1 species